GUCGUGUAAAGAUAAAUAAAUAUGUUAGAAUAUUUUAAUAAGAAAUAAGCGAUAGAGAAAAAAAACAUGGGUUAUGCUUUUUAUAUUUAUUUAUUGUUAAAAAAAUAAGUAAUCAAAAUUGAAUAAGUAAAAAAAAAUUCAGAUUUUUACAUUACUAAAAGAAUCACCCCCCCCGUGAAAAACAAAGUUAUCUCUCCCUCCCCACAUGUUUGACACAUUAAUACUUUCCUUUAACCAUUUAAAUAAAACAUGUGAUAAUACAGCAAAUACAACUACAAUAACAUUUAUAAAACACAAAAAGUACACCUGGUACUGAAUCAUUCAUAACAAAGCAUAACAUCAUAUAAUACUAACUAAACUAAUCAUAAAAAAAUAGGUAC
rnacentral:lncRNA from 1 species